rnacentral:miRNA from 1 species
AGGGCAUAGGAGAGGGUUGAUAU